rnacentral:rRNA from 1 species
UUACACCAGCUUGCUGGUAUGAUUAGUGGCGAACGGGUGAGUAAUGCUUAGGAAUCUGCCUAUUAGUGGGGGACAACAUUCCGAAAGGAAUGCUAAUACCGCAUACGUCCUAUGGGAGAAAGCAGGGGAUCGCAAGACCUUGCGCUAAUAGAUGAGCCUAAGUCGGAUUAGCUAGUUGGUGGGGUAAAGGCCUACCAAGGCGACGAUCUGUAGCUGGUCUGAGAGGAUGAUCAGCCACACUGGGACUGAGACACGGCCCAGACUCCUACGGGAGGCAGCAGUGGGGAAUAUUGGACAAUGGGCGAAAGCCUGAUCCAGCCAUGCCGCGUGUGUGAAGAAGGCCUUUUGGUUGUAAAGCACUUUAAGUGGGGAGGAAAAGCUAAUAAUUAAUACCUAUUAGCCCUGACGUUACCCACAGAAUAAGCACCGGCUAACUCUGUGCCAGCAGCCGCGGUAAUACAGAGGGUGCAAGCGUUAAUCGGAAUUACUGGGCGUAAAGCGAGCGUAGGUGGUCAUUUAAGUCAGAUGUGAAAUCCCCGGGCUUAACCUGGGAACUGCAUCUGAUACUGGGUGACUAGAGUAGGUGAGAGGGAAGUAGAAUUCCAGGUGUAGCGGUGAAAUGCGUAGAGAUCUGGAGGAAUACCGAUGGCGAAGGCAGCUUCCUGGCAUCAUACUGACACUGAGGUUCGAAAGCGUGGGUAGCAAACAGGAUUAGAUACCCUGGUAGUCCACGCCGUAAACGAUGUCUACCAGUCGUUGGGUCUCUUGAAGACUUAGUGACGCAGUUAACGCGAUAAGUAGACCGCCUGGGGAGUACGGCCGCAAGGUUAAAACUCAAAUGAAUUGACGGGGGCCCGCACAAGCGGUGGAGCAUGUGGUUUAAUUCGAUGCAACGCGAAGAACCUUACCUGGUCUUGACAUACACAGAAUCUUG